rnacentral:lncRNA from 1 species
CGCCGCCGGUUAGUCAGUCUCCUGUUGGCUUGGCCUGGCCAGAGCAACCGAAGCGGCUGUGGUGAAAAGGAACCGGACCAGCAGCGGAGGCAGCAGAAGCAGUCCCCCUCCCUGCCCGAGCUCUCUUUCCUUUCCUUCUCCCGAACCCAAGCAACUAUCCCGGCCAGAGGUCUCCGUGGGAGCCCCUGGCGUGCAGCCCCACGCAUGUGUGCCACGACAUGGACUUUAUGUUGCUGUGGCUGGCCUGGAACUUACUAUGUGGACCAGGCUGACCUCAAAGUCACAAAAAUCCAACUGAGUAUUGGGAUUAAAGGUUAAGAAGCACCUGUGAUGAAUGCUUUCAGCUGCUGCUCCAGCAUCUGCUGGAGCCUGUCUCCUUCCCAUCACGAUGAUCACGGACUAACCCUCUGAAACAGUGAGCAAGCCCCCAAGUAAAUGCUUUAUUUUUAU